UACAGAGGUCUCAAGCGUUGUUCGGAUUCAUUGGGCGUAAAGGGCUCGUAGGUGGCCAACUAAGUCAGACGUGAAAUCCCUCAGCUUAACUGGGGAACUGCGUCUGAUACUGGAUGGCUUGAGUUUGGGAGAGGGAUGCGGAAUUCCAGGUGUAGCGGUGAAAUGCGUAGAUAUCUGGAGGAACACCGGUGGCGAAGGCGGCAUCCUGGACCAAUACUGACACUGAGGAGCGAAAGCCAGGGGAGCAAACGGG
rnacentral:rRNA from 1 species